rnacentral:rRNA from 1 species
GGGCAUUUUAUGCUCUGUAAUUGGAAUGAUGGGAAUGUAAAACCCUUCCAGAGUAACAAUUGGAGGGCAAGUCUGGUGCCAGCAGCCGCGGUAAUUCCAGCUCCAAUAGUGUAUAUUAGAGUUGUUGCAGUUAAAAAGCUCGUAGUUGGAUUUCUGCUGUGGUCAUCCGGUACCGCCCGUAUGGGUGCGCACCUGGUUUGGCUCCGGCUUUCUUCCUGUAGCCGUCCGCGCUUAAUUGCGUGUACUGUGUUACGGAACUUUUACUUUGAGAAAAAUAGAGUGUUUCAAGCAGGCUUGUCGCCCUGAAUACUUCAGCAUGGAAUAAUAGGAUAGGACCUUGGUUCUAUUUUGUUGGUUUCUAGGACCAAGGUAAUGAUUAAUAGGGACAUUGUG